rnacentral:lncRNA from 1 species
GAGGAGAGAAGCCCUUCUGGUACCCAUCCCCACAUCAGCAAGAGGGAGCGCCAGACUCACAGCCUACCAUCCCCUCCAGCCCCAGCCCACCUGACCUACAUCAGCCACCUUCUGAUUGAUUCUGUUUUUUCCUGGGGAAAAGGCCAAAAAGCCAUCUAGGCCUCAACCCCAGCAUCUCUGAACCUCUGACCCAGCCCUGGACUUCCAACUUUCAGACUUCUUUCAGCUCCUGCUUCUUCCUCACAGGUACACCAGGGCAUCCAGCACAUUGAUUUGUCCCCACUCGCCUUAGCCUGUCUCCUGCCACAGUUGUCUCAUUUUGGUGAAGUGCGUGUCCAGGUUUCCCCUUGCUCCCAGCUGCAACAUGGAUCUGUGAAAGACAGUACAGCAGAAAAGUCUUCACAUCCUGGCUCUCUCUGCCCUUCAUUGUCUUUAAGCUCUUUAACAACUUUCACUUGGAGAGGAAAACAACUCUCUAGACAGGAACAUGGAGCAGCAGAGGGAGAAAUUGUGUGUUUACUGAUUUCAGUCAAUUAUUGCAGUGACCACGUCUCAGGAGUGUUGAUGUCCAGAUGAGGGCUGACCCAUGAAAGGUCAGCAAAAAGGAGGACCUAUACUUUCCUCGGUUUGUAAGUUGUAAAAGACCCAUGGAAUGCCAACUAUCCUUGUCCAUGGACAUGUGGACAGACUGUCCAGUGGCUAUCAUCAAUUUUGCAUCUAUUUGUAAAUUCUAUGUCAGCAUUCCUAUUGUCCUAGCUAUGCGUGGCAUUUUUAAUUCUCC